rnacentral:rRNA from 1 species
UACAGAGGUCCCAAGCGUUGUUCGGAUUCAUUGGGCGUAAAGGGUGCGUAGGCGGCGCGGUAAGUCGGGUGUGAAAUCUCGGAGCUUAACUCCGAAACUGCAUUCGAUACUGCCGUGCUUGAGGACUGGAGAGGAGACUGGAAUUUACGGUGUAGCGGUGAAAUGCGUAGAUAUCGGAAGGAACACCAGUGGCGAAAGCGGCUUCCUGGUCCAGCACCGACGUUCAGGCACGAAAGCGUGGGGAGCAAACAGGG